GACGAACGCUGGCGGCGUGCCUCAUACAUGCAAGUAGAACGCACAGUUUAUACCGUAGCUUGCUACACCAUAGACUGUGAGUUGCGAACGGGUGAGUAACGCUUAGGUAACCUGCCUGGUAGCGGGGGAUAACUAUUAGAAACGAUAGCUAAUACCGCAUAAUAUUGAUUAUUACAUGAUAAUUGAUUGAAAGAUGCUAUUGCAUCACUACCAGAUGGACCUGCGUUGUAUUAGCUAGUAGGUGAGGUAACGGCUCACCUAGGCGAGGAUACAUAGCCGACCCGAGAGGGUGGUCGGCUAGACUGGGAGUGAGGAACGGCCCAGACUCUUACGGGAGGAAGCAGUAGGGAAUCUUAGGCAAUGGAGGAGAGUCUGACCGAGCAAAGCCGCGGGAGUGAAGAAGGAUUUCGGAUCGUAAAGCUAUGUUGUAAGAGAAGAACGGGUGUGAGAGUGGAAAGUUCACAAUGUGACGGUAUCUAAACAGAAAGGGACGGCUAACUACGUG
rnacentral:rRNA from 1 species